rnacentral:rRNA from 1 species
UCGGGAAUAUUGCGCAAUGGAGGAAACUCUGACGCAGUGACGCCGCGUAUAGGAAGAAGGUUUUCGGAUUGUAAACUAUUGUCGUUAGGGAAGAAAAAAUGACAGUACCUAAGGAGGAAGCUCCGGCUAACUACGUGCCAGCAGCCGCGGUAAUACGUAGGGAGCAAGCGUUAUCCGGAUUUAUUGGGUGUAAAGGGUGCGUAGACGGGCGAUCAAGUUAGUUGUGAAAUCCCUCGGCUCAACUGAGGAACUGCAACUAAAACUGGUUGUCUUGAGUGCAGGAGAGGUAAGUGGAAUUCCUAGUGUAGCGGUGAAAUGCGUAGAUAUUAGGAGGAACACCAGUGGCGAAGGCGACUUACUGGACUGUAACUGACGUCGAGGCACGAAAGUGUGGGGAGCAACAGGAUUAGAUACCC